AAACUCCUUGCACGAGGCUAGGGCUUCCUCUUUUCGACCGUGCAUCGGAUUGAUCACAGCGAAAGGAGACGGCUGUAUUUUUCUACAAAUUACCUUGUGUCUUUGGCCUGCUUUAAUUGCGUUAGCUUAUAUUUAAUUGAUAUUUUAGUCCUAUUAAAUUUCCUUUUCUGUGUAAAAUUUUCUUUUAAUUUUACUCUACUUUCCCACCCCCCUUGGUCUUUAAUUCCCCCUAUUCCCCCCUCCCCCCUUUAGCUUACCUUAACGUUGGGUCUUCUAAUUUGGUGACAGGCCUCUCCAAGGCCGGUUUUCUUUAAUUCAUUGCCCUGGCUGCCCCUUUUCUGCCAGUCCCGGGUGAAGGGUGGGCCUGGCUGAGGGCGCAGCAGCCUCGGCCUGGCCUUGGGCGGCCCUUUUUUAGGCCUUUUUCGGCAGCGCCUGGUGCCGCACCGCGACGGGGGGUGCCUCCGGCCUUGCCAGGCCCUUAUGAGGCCUUGCCGUGAGCUCCCCCCCGCCCUAUUAUUUAAGGGCCAGUUUCGGCCUUGUUGGCCUGGUGUCUGUCAGGGCUGCAGGGAGGCAGGAGCAGCCUAAUUGGGGCCUGGGAGCAGGUCCCGUUGUGACCACCACCUUCCCUGCUUCUUUUUGGCGGGAGCGCCAUUUUUGAGGCCUGGUUUGCUCUCGUAGGCCCUCUAGUGGCCGUUCUGAGGUACUGCAGCGCUUGUUUUUAUUGCAUCAUUUUAGGCUGACAAUGGCCGCUCUGAGCAUUGCAGCCUGUGUAAUUUAAUUGUAAAGAAAAUGUUUUCGAGACGAGCCAUUGUGGCUUAGUGGCUAGAGUGCAGGACUAGGUCCUGGGAAACAGGGUUCAUAUCCCUCACUUAGCCAUUGUUAUAACAAAACAAAUCAAAAUAAAUUUGGGUUUCUUGAGGGGAUGCUUCCCUCUAAAAGGGCAAGCAGGGGUACCUGGACAGGCGGUGGGCUGCCUCAUCUGUUAUCUCAUUGGAAACAUUUAUGUCUGGCCUAGCAGGUGAUCCUAGGGCUUUGCUCGAGAAUUCGGUGGCCUCUGGCAGCAAUUUCCGGCCUGAAUAGUGUCCCCAUGUGGUGCACGAAGCAUUGGUUUCACCGGUUCCUCACAUUAUUUAGUUUUUUGCAGACUAUGGCAGGGCCUUUGCAGAUGCCUCCAGAGCUUGCCUCUCCUGCAGAGGAUGAUUUGCUGAUGCCCCAGGUGCCUCCUUUUGGAAGAAAGCGUCUUCAGAGGCGGCGAUCCAGGAGGGGAGGGCAAAGAAGAACAGAGAUGAUGCUUACACUUCCUCACAGGUACUUCAUCUCUGGGCUCUUAUGACGAUUCAGACGUCACCUUGGACCUCUAUGGGGUCAGGGUGAGGCUGUACCGGGUCUUUAAGAAUCAUCCUGGUUAGCUCAGCAGGUCAGCACGUGGUGCCAGUAAUGCCUAGGUUGCAGGAUUGGUCCCUGUAUGGGACAGCUGCAUGCUCCCCCAUCGUUCUAACUGGACAGAAGCCGGGUUGCAGGGGGCCAGGCAGAGGGCCUUCUCGGUGGUGGCACCUGUCCUGUGGAGAGCCCUCCCACCAGAUGUCAACUACCAGUCUUUUAGAAGACAUUGGAAGGCAGCCCUAUUUAGGGAAGCUUUUAAUGUCUGAUGCAUUACUGUAUUUUAAUAUUUUGUUGGAAGCCACCCAAGGGAAGCCCAGUUAGAUGGGCGGGGCAUAUUUUAUUUAUUAUUAUUAUUAGGGAGUGGACUAGAAGAUUGUUGGUGUCCCUUCCAACUCUACGAUUCUAUAAGUAGCAAUUCACUAUGAUGGGAAUGUUAGUCGCAGGGCUGCCAUCAUCCCCACAGCUUGCUGGGGUCGCAGGGACGGGGACGUGUGGACCACUUGCGCAGCUCCACAUUUCAAAUGGAAAUUCCCUGAGCAGUAGAACCUGAAACUAGUGUGCAGGAAGCUGGCCCGGCGGCAGCUUUGUUGUUUAGGGGUUCUGGACAGCGUCAGCCCUGUAAAUUCACACAUCUUAGGUGGCAGCACAAGACGCCCCCUGCCCAAGUCGGGGCUUGGAGCUGGCAAGCAAUAGCUCCUUAUCUCUGGCCCAUAUUCCCAUAAAAUUAUCUCCCUUGAAAGCCUGGCUAAAAGGUUAUCUAGAGGGGUCAGCGACUUUGUGCUUGUGGGAAGGGUUUUCUCAAGGUUUAGGAUUCCUCUGGCUUUUCAGCCAGUGGCUCGGAAUACAGCAAAUCAAAAGUCAGUUAGAGAGCCACCUGAGGUAGCCAGAAAGAAGGUCAGGUAGCAGCUUGCAUUGGGACGUAUGGUGGGACCCCUAAGAAAGCCCCAUAUAAUUCCAUCUGAUCCUUAUUUAUCGCAUCCCUGAGGCACCUCAGUGAAUGACGCUAUCCUUAAGGAAUUGUUCUGUGAAGUUCAUGUCUUUGGAGCAGGCGGUUGAGCUUACCACAAAAUUGGAAGAGGUGCCUUGUUGGCAAUAUGCUAUAUUGAAUCGGCUGUUAGGCUGCUGCUGGUUCACCCGCGAGAUUUUAAGUGGUUGGGCUUUAAUUUGGAUGGUGCUCCUUAUAUUGAUAAGGUGAUGCCGAUGGGUUGCGCAAUAGACUGUGCAGCACUCGAGUCCUUUAGCGCCUUUCUGGAUUGAACAGUGCGAGUCUAUACUCAUUUAACUGGGGGUACCAUUUUUUGGAUUAUUUUACUGGCUGGUUCUUGUGACACCAGCCUCUGUGUAGGCUUGCUAGACAUCCUUUAUUCCCUCUGAGGAGCUGGGUGUUUCAUAGGCAGUGGAUGGGACCCCCUCUUAAUAUUUGGGGGUUAGCUGGAUACCGUUGCUCAAACAUCUGCUUGCCUGUGGGGAAGCUGUUUGCCUUCAAGGAAGUUAUCUUGUUAUACUUCUUCUGAAGCAAGUGUUGCUUUGUCAAAUUCUAUCAUUUGCUAGGUCAGUUAAAUUAAUUUUGCAUGCAGAUUGGUUGCCCCAGGCCGCCCCUUCCGUUCCCGCUUGGCCAGGCUGCCUGUGGCCCGAGGUCCCCUUACCUUCGUGUACGCUUACCAAGUGAGGUCAAGGCGGAUCUCAUGCGAUGGUUGCAGUUCCUAAAUGGAUGCAAUAGUAGUUCACCAUGGCAGGAUACCUUGAACCUGCACAGCGAUUUUCAGGUUCAUGCUGAUGCUGCUGGAUCUUUGGCCUUUGGUUUUUAUUUCAGGGGCUGUUGGUGUGCAAAGCCAUGGCCUCAAGCCUGGUGUGGUGAGGCUAUCAUGUGACCUAACUUUGCUUGAGUUUUCCCCAUUGUAGUAGCAGUUCACAUCUGGACCGAGGAGUUCAGUGACCGUCGGAUCUGCUUUUGGUCUGAUAACCAGGCAGUGGUGAGCAUCUUGGCAGAACAGUCCACAUGCUCCAGCGGAGUCUCCACCCCUCCGCUCACGCUUUUGAGCUGCAGUGCUUAAGGUUUAAUAUUGUGCUUGCUGCUCACCUGCUAACAGGAUCCUCUAAUGAUAUUGGUGACACUCUAUCCCAUUUUCAGAUGGAGUGCUUCAGAUCCUCGGCUCCAGACUCUCAGCUAUUGCCGGACUUUUCUGGACCACCUGUUGCACUUUGACAACAAUUAGUAAUUACAGGGAGUAGCAGAUUCCAUUCCCCUUCUGCUUUUAGCUCUUAUGAGGAGGCCUGGACUGAUUUCUUAGGGUUUAGUUGACAGCCCUUGGCCAUUCAGAGGAACUUGCCCCCAUCCGCUGAGCAGAUCCUGCAGGAUUUGGCACACUUGCUGCAGAUUGGAUGUGCUGUAAACACUAUCAGAAUUCAGUCCGCUGCAAUGUCUGCUAUAGUGAAGCUUAAUUUUUCAGAGACCCUUGAAAAAAGUUUGUCAUGCACAGGGCCUUGAACGGUUGGAAUAGGCUCCAACUUCAUAGGUUGGCGCACCUCUUCCAAUUGGGCUGAGUGGCCAGGACGCUCAGGAUCCAACCGGCGGCCAUUUCCUUUUUCUGCACAGCCUUUUUUAAUAAAGACCCUUGCGCCAAAUUUGUGGUGCGCAAGGCUGUGGAAGGCUGGGGUAGCCUGGGCACUCUAUCCCCUGUGGUAAGGAAGCCUAUAACUUUUGAUUUGCUGACCAGCAUGCGCUCAAAGUUGAGGAGCAUUUGCUGGUUCAAAUAUGAAGCAUGGCGUUUUUCAGCCGCCUUUUCCUUAUCCUUUUUUGGCGCCCCGAGGGUAGGUGAGGUGGUAUUGGAGUUCACCUGCGGCAGAGAGUCAAGGGGACUGCUUUUGCAGGACGUAACUCUAUCCCCUUUGGAGGUGGUCCUGUUUAUCCGGAAUUCAAAGACAGACCAGUUAGGCAGGGGUGCCACUCUUAGGGUGCCUGCCACUGGAAAUAAGGGUCCUUGCCCGGUUAAGGAUACCUCCAGGUAUUUGGAUCUCAGGCCACGGGGGGAGGGACCAUUCCUUAUUCAUGAGGAUGGUGCCCCGUUGACUACGCAUCAAUUUGCUAAGGUGAUGCGGUAAGCGAUUGCAGCUUGUGGUUUGAAAGCAGCACGUUACGCUCCUCAUUCUUCCGCAGUGGUGCUGCCACUACAGCAGCUCAUUGGGGACUGUCUGUAGAAAGAAUUAAGAACAUGGGCCGUUGGAAGUCCAAUGCAUUUUGUGGAUAUGUGCAUAGACAUCGUUGUUCACCCAUACUUAUAUUUGCUUGUCUUCUCUUAGGUGUGGCUGCUGUUCGCAUUGUGGGCCACAGCAUUGUCUACUGGGCCGGUAUCAGAGCAAGGGAGUCUGGACUUGGACUCAGUCUUGGCUUUCCUCAACAUGCGCAAGUGUCUUGGCUACCCAGGCGUAGAAUGCUGUGGGCCGAAUUGCUUCCCCUUGUUCGGAAGCAUGUGAGGUUGGAGGGGCCCCCUACAGCUAUCGUGCUGCAGUUAGGGGGAAAUGAUCUGCUUGCCACAGACUGUUGUUCUUUACAUUUUACAGUUCAAAAGGACCUGGCUGAAUUGGCAGAGUUUUUGCCGGGUGUGAAAGUUUUUUGGUCCCAGUUGCUGCACCUGGCGUGGCAGUCGCUGUCCAGCCGCCACUGAUGGAGCCAGAAAGCGUGUUAAUAAGGUGGCAAUGAAAGCAGUCAUUGCUCAUGGUGGUUCUGUGAUUGCGCACCCCGAUAUCACCUUCAAGGCGGCCGUCCUUUUCAGGGACGAUGGUGUGCAUCUUUCCCCAUUGGGAAAUGACACAUGGUUAAAUUCUGUUGUGUGGGUUUGAAGGUGGGGCUGCAGUUGUGAGUGGUUGGCGGCGAGCUUGAGUGCUCGGUGGCGGUUAGGCAUUGGUUUAUGGUUUGGUUGGUUGAGGGGAAGUGGUUGAGUGCCUGCCCUUGGUAGGUUGAGUGCCUGCCCCUCUAAUGCUGCUGCUGCAAGGGAUUCCGUUAAAGGAAUUGGGGGCUAACUAUUGCUUGUCCACUCUGUCAAGAGGGCUCGGGCCAUAGCAAUGAGCUCCUGGUUGCAUUUGGGGUGAGGGCAGGUUCCCUGCUCCACGUAACCCCCAAGUGUAUUCCCCUAUUCUGACUUUCGCAUUGUGCGGAAUGUCAGUCUAUCCCCCAUGGUGGGGGCAGAUAGUCGCAACCAAUGCCUAAGCAACCACUCACAAAUUUGUAUUUCAAUAAAGUCGUGGCCAAAAUUAUGCCAAAAA